AUUGAACGCUGGCGGCAGGCCUAACACAUGCAAGUCGAGCGCGAAAGGCUUUCGGGCUGAGUAGAGCGGCGGACGGGUGAGUAACGCGUAGGAAUCUACCUGGUAGUGGGGGACAACUUGGGGAAACUCAAGCUAAUACCGCAUACGCCCUAAGGGGGAAAGCGGGGGACCUUCGGGCCUCGCGCUAUCAGAUGAGCCUGCGUAGGAUUAGCUAGUUGGUGAGGUAAAGGCUCACCAAGGCGACGAUCCUUAGCUGGUCUGAGAGGAUGAUCAGCCACACUGGGACUGAGACACGGCCCAGACUCCCACGGGAGGCAGCAGUGGGGAAUAUUGCGCAAUGGGGGGCAACCCUGACGCAGCCAUGCCGCGUGUGUGAAGAAGGCCUC
rnacentral:rRNA from 1 species